rnacentral:rRNA from 1 species
CCCUACGGGGGGCAGCAGUGAGGAAUAUUGGUCAAUGGGCGCGAGCCUGAACCAGCCAAGUCGCGUGAGGGAAGACGGUCCUAUGGAUUGUAAACCCCUUUUGUCGGGGAGCAAAAGACGCCACGUGUGGCGUUCCGAGAGUACCCGCAGAAAAAGCAUCGGCUAACUCCGUGCCAGCAGCCGCGGUAAUACGGAGGAUGCGAGCGUUAUCCGGAUUUAUUGGGUUUAAAGGGUGCGCAGGCGGAAGAUCAAGUCAGCGGUAAAAUUGAGAGGCUCAACCUCUUCGAGCCGUUGAAACUGGUUUU